GGCUUUGAUGAUAAUGUUCAGCAGGCUGAUGUUUGUAUAAACAAUGAUUCCCUCUUUUUUUUUUGUUUCUCUACACCCCCAGCAGGCUGUAGGCUGUUAUGAUUACAUUGAAUGAGAUAAAAUGCAACAUUCCUCCAGGACAGUGUAGAACAGUUUCAUUUCACAUGGAAAUUUGAAAUUAUCUUGUUUCUGGUUGUAUCCACUUGAGGAAGCACUAGAACUAACACCUCUAAUAAUAUAUGGCUUGAGCCCUUUACCUGGGAGGUUAGUUAUUUUGUAACCUUAUUUUCUUUUGCUGAUAUAUUUUCCACAUUUUAUGGGAAAGCUUGCGAAGUUAACUUCUCGUUCCGUUAAUUUCUUAUACACAAACUUGCAACUGAAUAUUUCGACUUCUUUUUUACAAGGUUUUUUUUACUUAUUACUGUCACAUUUGGUCACUUGGGAUUUGAUUAUUUCUUUGCCAUAAGAGAAAGAGUGCAAUAAGACGACAAAAGAAAGUGAAGGGAUAUGACCUAUCCCACCCAAAUGAGUUCUUGCCUGAGCUGAAAGAAGAACAACAGCUUGCUCUUCCACCUAACGAAGUGAACUGCAAAUCCAGACAAAACCUAUUGUACAAAUGGAAGUGUUUCUUUUGACCCAUCUCUUGAUAUAAGAAGACAGAAGAACGACACCACGCUGUCAAACUUAGGAUCUGUGAAGGAUAACGAAAGACAAGAUCUUAACUGUGCUGUGAAGGAAUACUUACUCUUGGUAGGGUAUCGUCUGACUGCAAUGACAUUCUAUGAAGAGGUUAUGGAUCAGGAAAAUAGAUACACCAUGUAACUUUGUUGCCUUGUUUCAUGGAAUGCAUAUGUAUGAUUGUGUGAUGCUAUCACUGCCUUACUUGGUAGCUUCAACUUGCCACUCAGUACUUCGGAUCUUGCCGCCGCCAAACUAAUAAGGAAAUAUUCUCUCCGUGGAUUAAUAAGGAUCCACAGAAUACAGAAGUUGGAGGUGAAUUAUUUUCGACGCCAUUGACCUGAAACACCAUCUAGGGGAUCAUACUUAUGUCUCAGUAACUGAUAGUGGUUACUGGCAGAUAGAGCUAGAAGGUCUUGACAUUGCAAACAGUUCAACAGGUCACUGUUCGGCAGAAUACUGCAUCAUGUGAAGAGAUGGCUACAACAAUGUCUACGGCAGAAUCUGUAGCUCUUAAAGGACUACCUCAAUGCAUUGUUACUGUGAUAGCUGAGUUUGCCAGAUUCAGCAAGACUUUGAUAUUAUACUGGAGCCAUGUCCCAUGUUUGCCGAAGCCAUCCUUCAAGUCAGAAUCAGUACCCUGGGGU